CCUACGGGUGGCAGCAGUGGGGAAUAUUGGGCAAUGGGCGCAAGCCUGACCCAGCAACGCCGCGUGAAGGAAGAAGGCUUUCGGGUUGUAAACUUCUUUUAAGAGGGACGAUCAGAAGACUGUACCUCUUGAAUAAGCCACGGAUAACUACGUGCCAGCAGCCGCGGUAAUACGUAGGUGGCAAGCGUUGUUCGGAUUUACUGGGUGUAAAGGGCGUGCAGCCGGGAAGACAAGUCAGAUGUGAAAUCCCGCGGCUCAACCGCGGAACUGCAUUUGAAACUGGUUUUCUUGAGUACCGGAGAGGGCAGCGGAAUUCCUGGGGUAGCGGUGAAAUGCGUAGAGAUAAGGAAGAACACCAGUGGCGAAGGCGGAUGACUGGACGGCAACUGAAGGUGAGGCGCGAAAGCGUGGGGAGCAAACAGGAUUAGAUACCCGGGUAGUC
rnacentral:rRNA from 1 species